CAAUUAAGUUUAAUUUUUUGUUAAAGAAACAAAAAGAUGGGGACUUGAAUUUCAUUUAGGAAUAAAAAAGAACCAAAAAAAAUUUCUCCAAUCAAGCAAGUUUUCUUGUCCUUGGGUAAUAAUAAUAUAAUAUAGUAUCAGUAUGCAUAUUCUCUUUUAUUGUCUUAAAAAUAAUCUUUGUAAAAAUGGACGGACUGUAUUUUGCUUUUUCGGCCUCUGUGUUGAUCAUUGAAAAAAAUGGACAUCGUUUUUUAAUUCUUCUCGUUGAAACUUUGAAGAAACUCUACUCAUAUUCUCUUUUAAGAAACAAUCACAUUUUCUUAUUUGGACGAACUAUAUUUUCCUUUUUCGACCUCCGUAUUCAUCAUUGGAAAAAAAUGAUAUCGUUUUUGGAUUCCUCUCGUCGAAACUUUCAAGAAGCUCUACUGAUUCACAUAUUUCGAUAAAGUUGACGUCGGAUCUUGUCUGUGCUUCGACGCAUCGCUAUUCUCAGCUCGUCUACCUCUGAUACGAUUGAUAAAGCAAGUAAUCAAUUGCCUCUAAUAAGCUUGACAAGCGAGUGAUUCUCUGCCACUGAUAAUCAUUUCAAGUAUCUGAUCAUAUAACUCUAACUUAUGUCGUAUGCACUGAAGGAAAUCAAUGAUAUAAAAGAUGUAAACGCUAUGAUGAAAUUCAACUUUCUAAAGAAGACGAAGCAAUUGUGCAUCAUCUGAUCAACAUCUAGAAUCUACUACUUGUUCAUAUAUCUUGUUCUCUCACACUUCUAUUGAUAGAGGAGUUGAUCUAUAACACCCUCUCAAUGAGAGUUAGAAUUCGAAAAACAAACUUUGUGUCAAAUCAGACAACAACCUUCUCACCCCUAAGAGGUACGUGAAAAGGUACCACGACUCUCAUGAAUCUUAAUGGCAAGAUGCCAGAAAGUUGAAGAAGGUUUUGAUGAAGACAACCUGGAGAGGCUAGAGAAAAAUACUAAAAGCCUAAAAAGGCAGAGUAAAGAAUACUUUUUUGCUAUUUAUGGAAAUAUUGGAUUAAGUCAUCGACUGUGCUAAAGUAAAAUCUCUUUGUAUAGGGAGUGCUAGAUAUAGGAACAAUUUGUUGUGAACUAUUAUAAAAAUAUGUCUCUUUUAUCUUCUUCUA